UUGAACGCUGGCGGCAGGCCUAACACAUGCAAGUCGAACGGUAACAGGAAGCAGCUUGCUGCUUCGCUGACGAGUGGCGGACGGGUGAGUAAUGUCUGGGAAGCUGCCUGAUGGAGGGGGAUAACUACUGGAAACGGUAGCUAAUACCGCAUAAUGUCGCAAGACAAAAGAGGGGGACCUUCGGGCCUCUUGCCAUCGGAUGUGCCCAGAUGGGAUUAGCUUGUUGGUGGGGUAACGGCUCACCAAGGCGACGAUCCCUAGCUGGUCUGAGAGGAUGACCAGCCACACUGGAACUGAGACACGGUCCAGACUCCUACGUGAGGCAGCAGUGGGGAAUAUUGCACAAUGGGCGCAAGCCUGAUGCAGCCAUGCCGCGUGUAUGAAGAAGGCCUUCGGGUUGUAAAGUACUUUCAGCGGGGAGGAAGGGAGUAAAGUUAAUACCUUUGCUCAUUGACGUUACCCGCAGAAGAAGCACCGGCUAACUCCGUG
rnacentral:rRNA from 1 species